GACGAACGCUGGCGGCGUGCCUAAUACAUGCAAGUUGAGCGCUGAAGGUUGGUUCUUGUACCAACUGGAUGAGCAGCGCACGGGUGAGUAACGCGUGUGGAAUCUGCCUUUGAGCGGGGGACAACAUUUGGAAACGAAUGCUAAUACCGCAUAAAAACUUUAAACACAAGUUUUAAGUUUGAAAGAUGCAAUUGCAUCACUCAAAGAUGAUCCCGCGUUGUAUUAGCUAGUUGGUGAGGUAAAGGCUCACCAAGGCGAUGAUACAUAGCCGACCUGAGAGGGGGAUCGGCCACAUUGGGAAUGAGACACGGCACAAACUGCUACGGGAGGGAGCAGUAGGGAAUCGUGGGGAAAGGACGAAAGUCUGACCGAGAAAGGCCGAGGGAGUGAAGAAGGAUUUCGGAUCGUAAAACUCUGUUGGUAGAGAAGAAAGUUGGUGAGAGUGGAAAGCUCAUCAAGUGACGGUAACUACACAGAAAGGGACGGCUAACUACGUG
rnacentral:rRNA from 1 species